rnacentral:ncRNA from 1 species
UUUAAAGCGUUGAAAGGGAGAGUAGCCUGACCCGGUCGUGUAAGAGAUGAAAUGCCAAGGCUGUAAGCAUUUCUCACGAGCGUACAGGGGAAAACCACCCUGGAGUGUUGGGCUGAAAUAAGUAAGCUCAACCGUACCCCGCGUUAAGGGAGAUCGAGUGAAAGGGCAUUCUUAUAACCUUUCAAUUGGGUGGAACCACGGGAGUAAACUCUCGUCCCUAGU